CCUACGGGUGGCAGCAGUGGGGAAUAUUGGACAAUGGGGGGAACCCUGAUCCAGCGACGCCGCGUGAGUGAAGAAGUAUUUCGGCAUGUAAAGCUCUAUCAGCAGGGAAGAAAGAAAUGACGGUACCUGACUAAGAAGCCCCGGCUAACUACGUGCCAGCAGCCGCGGUAAUACGUAGGGGGCAAGCGUUAUCCGGAUUUACUGGGUGUAAAGGGAGCGUAGACGGCGAUGCAAGUCUGAAGUGAAAGGCGGGGGCCCAACCCCCGGACUGCUUUGGAAACUGUAUGGCUGGAGUGCAGGAGAGGUAAGUGGAAUUCCUAGUGUAGCGGUGAAAUGCGUAGAUAUUAGGAGGAACACCAGUGGCGAAGGCGGCUUACUGGACUGUAACUGACGUUGAGGCUCGAAAGCGUGGGGAGCAGACAGGAUUAGAUACCCCGGUAGUC
rnacentral:rRNA from 1 species